GACGGAUGAAUGGUCACAGAAAGAGUUAGAUUUUGAAGCUAAAAUCUCUUCAAUUAAUCAAUAUACUAAAACAAUAAUUGAAGAAAACUCGACACUAAAAAGAUCAAUUCUCGAAGUUGAACAACAGGGACGCGAAGAAUUAAAGGCUCAUCAAGAGUUAAAAGUGGAGUUCUGUCAGAAAAUGGAUGAAUGGUCACAGAAAGAGUUGAAUUUUAAAGCUGAAAUUUUUUUAAUUAAUCAAUACGCUAGAACGACACAUGAGGUGUUCCUUUCACAGGUGAAAACUAAACAAGAAGAAAACUUGAAACUAAAAAGAGCAAUCCUCCAAGUUGAAAGACAGGGACAGGAACAGUUAAGUCAGAAGACGGAUGAAUGGUCACAGAAAGAGUUAGAUUUUAAAGCUAAAAUCUCCUUAAUUAAUCAAUAUGCUAAAAAGAAAAUUGAAGA